rnacentral:rRNA from 1 species
CGCGGGCGCAGGAAAUUUGAGAGGAGCUGUCCUUAGUACGAGAGGACCGGGAUGGACGUACCGCUGGUGUACCAGUUGUCUCGCCAGAGGCACGGCUGGAUAGCCAAGUACGGCAGGGAUAAGCGCUGAAAGCAUCUAAGCGUGAAGCCCCCCUCAAGAUGAGAUUUCCCAGUAUGUAAGACCCCUUGUAGACGACGAGGUAGAUAGGUUCGGGGUGGAAGCGCGGCAACGUGUGGAGCUGACGAAUACUAAUCGGUCGAGGGCUUAUCCU